rnacentral:rRNA from 1 species
CAAGUCGAACGCGAAAGCCCCCUUCGGGGGGCAAGUAGAGUGGCGCACGGGUGAGUAACACGUAGGUAAUCUACCUUUGGAUGGGGAAUAACAACCGGAAACGGUUGCUAAUACCGCAUAAUGCAGCGGCACCUAAUGGUGACAGUUGUUAAAGCGGGGGAUCGCAAGACCUCGCGUCUGAAGAGGAGCCUGCGGCGGAUUAGCUAGUUGGUAAGGUAACGGCUUACCAAGGCUAUGAUCCGUAGCCGGCCUGAGAGGGCGGUCGGCCACACUGACACUGACAUACGGGUCAGACUCCUACGGGAGGCAGCAGUCGGGAAUUUUGGGCAAUGGGCGAAAGCCUGACCCAGCAACGCCGCGUGAAGGAUGAAAUCCUUCGGGAUGUAAACUUCGCAAGAACAGGAAGAAUAAGUAAGAGUUAAUAUCUCUUACGAUGACGGUACUGUUUGUAAGCUCCGGCUAACUCCGUGCCAGCAGCCGCGGUAAUACGGGGGGAGCAAGCGUUGUUCGGAUUUACUGGGCGUAAAGGGCGCGUAGGCGGCCACCGCAAGUCGACUGUGAAAUCUCUGGGCUUAACCCAGAACGGUCAGCCGAUACUGCGGGGCUAGAGUGCAGAAGGGGCAACUGGAAUUCUCGGUGUAGCGGUGAAAUGCGUAGAUAUCGAGAGGAACACCUGCGGCGAAGGCGGGUUGCUGGGCUGACACUGACGCUGAGGCGCGAAAGCUAGGGGAGCGAACGGGAUUAGAUACCCCGGUAGUCCUAGCCUUAAACGAUGAAUGCUUGGUGUCUGGGGUUUUAUAGUCCCCGGGUGCCGUC